CAGAGAGAUAAUGAUGGUGAAAGACUUGCCAUAACACAGUUAAGAAUGGUGAAAUCAAACCCCAAAAAUACAAUCAGUUUGAAAUGUACCAAAAAAAAAUUGUAUAGUUUAGUGAUGUGCCUGAGAUCAUUAUUGAAAGUAACUAUCACUAUGUACCAAAUUUCUUGUUUCCCAAAUCUCAAAAGCUGAAACAAAAUGUUGCACCUAAUCCGAGUAUAGGUAUAAGGUCUUCGCAGGUCAAUAAAAAGCUCAAUUCAACUAGCAAGAAAUCUAUCAUGAAACAUUUCAAUUGUUG
rnacentral:misc_RNA from 1 species